UGACAGCAAAAGUGGAUGAGAGUAUUCGAGAAAAUGAUACGCUCGACUGCCUUUUCGAUCUCUUAAGAUCAAAAAGAAAAAAAAUCUACUUUAAAAGUAAAAAGAAAAAAGCUCUUAACUUUAAAACCAUUAAAACGAUCAAUCAAGCGAAAGAUAAUCAUCUGCAACGAGAGAUCUCAGGAGAAAUUUAUUGGUUUGUUUUCUUUUCUAUAUUUAAAAAUUGUGUCGUGUAUAAAUUUGCUUAUUUUUUAACGUCAAAAUGAUGGUUUGUUUAUAUAUUAAAUAAUAAAAAAAAAUUACGAGUUGUAGAGGUCGGAGGAGAAGAGAAAAGAGAGAGAGAGAGGGAAGUUAUGUCGAAAAGUAUUGAUCAACAAGUCUAGAAAACGAAUCGAUUUUGCUUGCUUCUUGUACGAGAGGUCAACUAAAAUUCGUAUCGCGUGGAGGACAAUUUCUACUUUGCUACGAAAAUCUACAGAAAAAUGAUCUGAAAUCAUUAAAAUCUAUGUUCAAUGUAAUGGAAAUCUUAUCGAAAAGAACUAGCAUCUGGAAUAAAGAAAAACAUUUAAGAAUUAUUAAUUAAUUAUGAUAAAAAUGGUGUAUAAUAUUAGAGAAUUACAGGAAGAUAAGCGUAACAUUUAAAUAUUUUCGUUUUAAUUACGUCAAACAUCUUGGGAGGAACUGAUUGACAUAACUGACACGACUGUGUAAACACAAUUCUGUACUCGUUCAUUGUGGAGUAGCAGGAUCUUAAUGGAACAUUUUGAAGUUUAUACAGUGAUUCGUCAAUUUUCAAGAUGAAUACAUGAACUUUUAAGAAAAUUUUAACAUGUUUUCAUUAAAGUAAGUAGAGUUUUAAUCAUAAAUUUAUAUAAUUUAUAAUUUAAACUUAAAAUCAAAAGGGGUGGAUUUAUUUACGAAGUGUGUUAAAGAAUUAAAUGGUUUUACUCUUUGGUAAUAAAUUAUAUUAAGAAAUUGUCAGUAUUUUGUACCAGAAAAAACUAAGUUGAAAGGUUUCAGAAAGCUAAAGUUAAAAGCUAAUAACAAGAUUAUAACUAUCACUUUACUAAGAUUAAUUUCUAAUCUCAUUAAUGAGCCAGUUACU